UUGAUUGGUUAAUCUUCUGUUUUAUUUAUUGUUUGAAAAACUCAGCAAUUCAUUUGUUGUAAUAAGCUUUUUUAGCGAUAAAAGUAAACAAUUAUAUAAGCUAAUUCUCAUAUAAUAGUGGACUUUUUUCAAAUAAAGAAGUUUUAUGAACUGGAAAGGCCAGAAGAGUUUUGUGUCUUCUUGUAUUAUGAUUGUGGUGAUUUUUUUAUUGAUCAAAGGCGUUUUGAUUUUUAUGAACAAUAAAAAACAUUAUGGUGGUGGCAGUAUGUGGUUAUUGUUUUGGUUCAACAAUUCAAAAAUAUAUAAACAUAGUAGUGUGAGUAUUUUAACUUUCUUAAAUAGCGGUCGGCAGCUCUCUGUAAGUUUGCAUCAACCAUUGCUCGAAACAGAUUUUUGAGCUAAUGAAUACUUUUUCAAAAUCAGGUGAUGAACCUCAGAGUACAAUACAGUAUUUCAGAAUCGGUUUUACAUGGGCAAAGUAUACAAUUUUACAAAUAGAAAUAGAUACAGAAUCUGCUAAUAUCUUCAUUGCAAAACAAAAAGAGCUUAGUUUGUUUACAAAAUAAUUAACGUGAAAUUUUCAGUUUAAGUUUUCAUCAAUUUUUACUCCUAAAACAUGUGACUUGACUAGGUUUAAUCUCCUACAUUUAAAGAUAUUUAUAUGGUUAUUUUUGUUUUAAAAUGUGUUAAAUGUUGUUUUUCUUGAAGUCAAGAAGUUAGUAUUUGGAAAGUCAUUUGGUACAUUAUUAAUGUAGACUAGAAAAAGAAUCAGACCUAAAAUUGAACCCCAUAGAACACCACCAUAGACAGUGUUUUCUUAAUUCAAUAUAAUUUUAACUGAAUUAUCAUUCAUGAUAGUUCUUUGUUUUCAAAUUUGAUUCUAAAUAGUUAAGUGCUUUCUUUUAAUUCCAAUUUGUUAUUUAUAAGUUAUACACUAAAAAUGUAUUCUGGCACUUUUCACACACACAUUUUUUCUUUACAGUACUCAAAGGGUUAACUCAUGUGUAAUUAAGUGAUAUUUAUUUUAUAGAUUAAACGGUUCGUGUUAAUAAGGGUUUUUAUAAGAAGUCCGUUACUGUUCUUCAGGUAGAAAGAGAUAUGGCUGAUAACUCUUUUACUUACUGUGACAGUGACGAAGAGGUUUUUUGGGGGAAAGUUACAGAAAAAGAUAUACGGAAGCGUGCUUUAUUUGGAAAUUGCUUUGGACUCACCUGUUGUAAGAAAGCAGCACACCCAGGCCAUCAGC